CUUUUGCGUUCAUUUUCAAAUUCGCCGUGCAUAUAUUUUUGUUCAUGGCGCUUGAGAGGGCAUCACGUGACUAAAAACGACCAACCAACGACCUCGCUUCGGCCAUCUUGGCAUCUUCAUCUUGGCGACCUUGCCUUGCCGUGGAUUGUUUUUAGUUGUUUGUAUUAUUUGUGCUUUUUAAGAAUAUUUUUUUAAUUCGGAUACUUUUAUAAUAGCUUUAAUAGUAUUAUUAACAUAGUGCAUAAAAUGGUGUCCUGUUUUUAACGCAGUUGGAGUAGCAGAAACAAAUGUAGAUAAAAAAAUCUGCAGGAAUAACGUUUCAAUUAUGACAGAAGCUCCAAACAAAUGACUGAAUGAAAAGCCCUAUUAAAAGCUUUCCAGAAGAUCCUGCGAAGAAGACAUGAAGUAUAGAUCAGAUUUGUUAAUAGAGGAGUAUGUUCAAAACACUUUUUAGAAAAAGAUAUUGACAGAACUUCACUUUCAUCUGUUCGUUUGAGAGACUGUGCUGUUCCAAUAGCUUAUGUCACACAGAAUCAGCUGAGAGAAGUGGUCUACAAAAAACCAGAAAGGAAACGGAAUAUGUGGCUACGAAAAGCAAAAGAAAGGUUUACAAAGCAAAUGUGACACAUUUUUUUAUAAUAUUUAGGAAUGUCAGCAAAUUACAUUAAAAAAUGUAUGUAAAGAUUUUUUGCAAUAAAAAUGUUUAUAUUUA